AGCUACUCCCCACCACCAGCACCCAAAGCUGGUAUUCUAAUUAAACUACUUCUUGAGUACAUAAAUUUACAUAGUACAACAGUACAUUUAUGUAACA
rnacentral:misc_RNA from 1 species